AUGGAUGUAAACCUCAAGAUUAUGUUUUGAAAUGUUCGCGGCCUCAAUAGCCGGGCCAAGUGUUCUGCCGUCCGCACUGUGAUUGCCUCCGCGUCACCUUCCGUAGUAUGUUUGCAAGAGACCAAGCUCUCGAUGGUUUCGUUGGCUCUCAUCCUCGAGACUCUUGGUGGCUCUUUCGACGGAUUCUACUUCCUCCCGGCGACUGAUACCCGGGGCGGCAUCGUUCUUGCCUGGCAAAGCUGCCAGAUCUUCCUCUCCAACCCUAUGAUUAGCGACCACCAUGCGUCUGCUGUUGCUACUACAACCUUGGGCGGGUAA
rnacentral:rRNA from 1 species